UACAGAGGUCUCAAGCGUUGUUCGGAUUCAUUGGGCGUAAAGAGCGUGUAGGCGGCCACACAGGUCUGCUGUGAAAACUCGAGGCUCAACCUCGAGCUGUCGGUGGAAACCGUGUGGCUAGAGUCCGGAAGAGGAGAGUGGAAUUCCCGGUGUAGCGGUGAAAUGCGCAGAUAUCGGGAAGAACACCCGUGGCGAAGGCGGGUCUCUGGGCCGAUACUGACGCUGAGGAGCGAAAGCGUGGGGAGCGAACAGG
rnacentral:rRNA from 1 species